AGCAGCCGCGGUAAUUCCAGCUCCAAUAGCGUAUAUUAAAGUUGUUGCAGUUAAAAAGCUCGUAGUUGAAUUUCGGGAUCAAUCUGCCGGUCGUGCCUCCGGUAUGCACUGGUUUUAUUGGUUUCUCCCUUCUGACGAAUCAUGAUGUCAUUAAUUUGGUGUCAUGGGGAAUCAGGACUGUUACUUUGAAAAAAUUAGAGUGUUUAAAGCAGGCUCACGCUUGAAUACAUUAGCAUGGAAUAAUGAAAUAGGACGUUUGACCCUAUUUUGUUGGUUUCUAGGAUCGACGUAAUGAUUAAUAGGGAUAGUUGGGGGGCAUUAGUAUUCAAUUGUCAGAGGUGAAAUUCUUGGAUUUAUUGAAGACUAACUACUGCGAAAGCAUUUGCCAAGGAUGUUUUCAUUAAUCAAGAACGAAAGUUAGGGGAUCGAAGACGAUCAGAUACCGUCGUAGUCUUAACCAUAAACUAUGCCGACUAGGGAUCGGAUGAUGUUAAUUUUUUUAAUGACUCAUUCGGCGCCU
rnacentral:rRNA from 1 species